AUUGAACGCUGGCGGCAUGCCUUACACAUGCAAGUCGAACGGCAGCACGGGUGCUUGCACCUGGUGGCGAGUGGCGAACGGGUGAGUAAUACAUCUGAACGUACCUUAUCGUGGGGGAUAACGCAGCGAAAGCUGUGCUAAUACCGCAUACGCCCUGAGGGGGAAAGCGGGGGAUCGCAAGACCUCGCGCGAUUAGAGCGGCCGAUGCCUGAUUAGCUUGUUGGUGGGGUAAAAGCCCACCAAGGCGACGAUCAGUAGCUGGUCGGAGAGGACGAUCAGCCACACUGGGACUGAGACACGGCCCAGACUCCUACGGGAGGCAGCAGUGGGGAAUUUUGGACAAUGGGGGCAACCCUGAUCCAGCAAUGCCGCGUGAGUGAAGAAGGCCUUCGGGUUGUAAAGCUCUUUUGUCAGGGAAGAAACACCGGCUCUAACACAGUCUGGGAAUGACGGUACCUGAAGAAUAAGCACCGGCUAACUACGUGCCAGCAGCCGCCGUAA
rnacentral:rRNA from 1 species